GUGAAUCAUCAAAUCUUUGAACGCAAAUUGCACUCCCUGGUAUUCCGGGGAGUAUGCCUGUUUGAGGGUCGUUAGAAUAAAAAAUCGAUUCUUCUCUCUUUUUUUUAAGGGUUUUCGCGUCGGAAUUGAGCACUCUUUCAAUUUUUAAUUCAGUUGAAAGUUGCUUGAAAUUCAUCCAUCCGGUACGAUUGAAGCGUGUUUAAGAUCAAUUUUGUUUGUGAAGGCGCGAUGACUUAUCAUUU
rnacentral:misc_RNA from 1 species